UCAGAAGAGGCUACUACUAGCUAUCUAGCUUCAUGUUUAACUCUUCUUGGUUUGUGUUUUUGUGUGCUUGUUGGAGUUGUUAGGAGGAAGAGAGGGGUGAGAGGUGAGGCUGACAGAAGAGAGUGAGCACACAUGGUGACUUUCUUGCAUGCUGAAUGGACUCAUGCUUGAAGCUAUGUGUGCUCACUUCUCUCUCUGUCAGCCAUUUGAUCUCUCUUUCUCUCUUUCUCCCUCAUGUGUUAUACUGUUCUCUCAUAUCUAUCUUCUUUGAGGUAGUAAUAUACUUGAGCAAAUUAAGCUGCUUAAUUAUUUGUGUAUGAUGAUCAGCUGCUGAUCCGGCCUCAUUUCUUGCAUAUAUGAGAUCAGUUUCAACCACAACCACAUACAUGCUUGUUCAUUUUUUUUCACAAAGAAAGAGAACAGUUUAAUUUAAUUUCUUGGGGUUUUUGGAUCAGUUAAUUUGUCUUGAGAGGGGAAGAGAUCUCUAUGGGUUUUGGAGGUCUGACAGAAGAGAGUGAGCACACACGGUGCUUUCUUAGCAUGCAAGAGCCAUGCUGGGAGCUGUGCGUGCUCACUCUCUAUCUGUCAGCCGUUCACCAUGCCCAAUAUGAUUAAUCUCCUUCUCUCAGUUGACAGUAAUUUCUUUGCCAGAUCUCCUGUUAAAUUUUCUGCCUAGCUAGCUAUUAUGCACAUGCUUAUUAUGAUGAGCCUGCCAAUAUCAUCUCCACGGCAAAACACAAACUAGCUAUGAUUUGAUUCAUUAUAUUUCUUUUCGCUGUUUAAUUAAUUAUAUGCAG
rnacentral:precursor_RNA from 3 species